AGGUCACGUGAUGAUGAUUGUGAUUAUAGGGGUACAGGUCACGUGGUGAUGAAUGUGAUUAUAGGGGUACAGGUCACGUGGUGAUGAAUGUGAUUAUAGGGUGAUCACGUGAUGAUGAAUGUGAUUAUAGGGUGAUCACGUGAUGAUGAAUGUGGUUAUAGAGUGAUCACGUGAUGAUGAAUGUGAUUAUAGGGGAACCGCGUUCUUUGCGAGAACGCCUAGUGCCAAUUGGG